UGAGGAAUCUUGCGCAAUGGGGGCAACCCUGACGCAGCAACGCCGCGUGAGUGAGGAAGGUCUUCGGAUCGUAAAGCUCUGUCAGUUGGGAAGAAAUGCCUGUUGGUUAAUAUCCUUCAGGCUUGACGGUACCAACAGAGGAAGCACCGGCUAACUCCGUGCCAGCAGCCGCGGUAAUACGGGGGGUGCAAGCGUUGUUCGGAAUUAUUGGGCGUAAAGAGCGUGUAGGCGGCCUGAUGUGUCAGAUGUGAAAGCCCUGGGCUUAACCCAGGAAGUGCAUUUGAAACUGUCAGGCUCGAGUAGGGUAGAGGGAAGUGGAAUUCCUGGUGUAGAGGUGAAAUUCGUAGAUAUCAGGAGGAACACCGGUGGCGAAGGCGACUUCCUGGCCCUAUACUGACGCUGAGACGCGAGAGCGUGGGUAGCAAACA
rnacentral:rRNA from 1 species